AUGUGCGAAAUAACGUUUGUUUUAGAGGACACAAAUCUCUAACAAAUAGUUUAUCCGGUUAAUAAGUGUGUUUGCUACACAUCCGUAUUGCUCUUCAUGUAUUUGGAGGAAACAAAGUUAUAUAUAGUUUAACGUCAGUAUUUACACGUUGAUUGAUUACUGACUGAGCAGGCGUAAAUUAUUGCUUUGUUUACCAACCAGACGACAAUCUUUAUUGCCCGUAUCCCUUAUCACGGUGCCUAUACCACGUGACUUUUUAAGAUCUGUGUGGGGAGUUAAAUGUCAACAAAAGCACGACAAAGUAAUCACCUAUUUGGCACUAGUGAGCGGACAAGGGUUAAGGGAAGAAAAAACAGAGGAAACAGUUUCACGAGGCAGGAAUGCUAUACAGAAGGAGACACGAGGAGUAAGGUGGGCGCGGGCGAGACGAAACGAUAGCAAACUGUUGCCAACAAUAAGAAUGCGGAUAGACGAACACAAUGGACAUUUUUAUUCUGACACAAAUUCUGCAAUAAAAAUUAUGUCAAAUAUUACACAGGUUGACAAAAAGCAAAGGCAUGUUCUUUCCGGAGUAAUACGUAUGUUUUAAAAUCAAAUUUGGAAUACAAGCUGAUAAAAUAGAAUCCACCAGA